UACUUCAUUGAGACUUCGGUGGAUUUGAUCUAUUUCUAGUGGCGGACGGGUGAGUAACGCGUGGGUAACCUGCCUUAUACAGGGGGAUAACAGUCAGAAAUGGCUGCUAAUACCGCAUAAGCGCACAGAGCUGCAUGGCUCAGUGUGAAAAACUCCGGUGGUAUAAGAUGGACCCGCGUUGGAUUAGCUGGUUGGUGGGGUAACGGCCCACCAAGGCGACGAUCCAUAGCCGGCCUGAGAGGGUGAACGGCCACAUUGGGACUGAGACACGGCCCAGACUCCUACGGGAGGCAGCAGUGGGGAAUAUUGCACAAUGGGGGAAACCCUGAUGCAGCGACGCCGCGUGAAGGAAGAAGUAUCUCGGUAUGUAAACUUCUAUCAGCAGGGAAGACAGUGACGGUACCUGACUAAGAAGCCCCGGCUAACUACGUGCCAGCAGCCGCGGUAAUACGUAGGGGGCAAGCGUUAUCCGGAUUUACUGGGUGUAAAGGGAGCGUAGACGGUGUGGCAAGUCUGAUGUGAAAGGCAUGGGCUCAACCUGUGGACUGCAUUGGAAACUGUCAUACUUGAGUGCCGGAGGGGUAAGCGGAAUUCCUAGUGUAGCGGUGAAAUGCGUAGAUAUUAGGAGGAACACCAGUGGCGAAGGCGGCUUACUGGACGG
rnacentral:rRNA from 1 species